AGUUCAGAGAACGGGGGGGAGACCGAGAGAAAGAGAGGGUGAAGGAGGAGUGGCUGGAGGUGGUUUCUAUUGCAUGCAAUCCGUGUUGCCAACCAAGCAAAAGCAAGUACUUCUAAAGGCAAAAGAGUAGUGAUUGAUAGAUCUUGAAGGUGAAAGAAGAAGCAAGAGAUCUUGUGUAUAUAUAUUUUGCUUAAAAUGCUUCUUGUAUUUUAUUAUUUUGGAGUAAGGAUAUAAUGUGUAUAUAUUUUGUUAUGUAAAUAUUCUUUCAUAAGGAGAUGACUAAGGGCAGAUUAACUAUAAUGACCGCCAUUGAUAGGAAUAGCCUACAUGUUGAUAUAUAGUUUUUAUUAUGCCCAGAUUGUAUAUAUGAGUAUAUGUACCCUUUUGUA